AAUGAAGCUUUCUCUUCCCGCGGCAUGGAGGCCAGGCCUCUGCGGUCAGGAAGCUGACAUGCAAGCGGCCGCCGGGCGGCGGGGCGGCCCCGGUGGUGGCGGGAAGCGGUUCAACCCCAGCCCUCCCUCCGAGUCCCGGGCCAGCGGAGUCUAAACAGCCCGGCUCGGGCGGGGCUGGGGGCGGGCCCGGCCAGGGGAAAUAAAGCCCCGGAGGCCCGUGUGGGUCUCUCCGGUGCCCGGGGCGCUUUCGGGGUGAUGUCAUGGCUUUCACUCUGACGUCACGUUGGGCAUAUGACGUCACGCGCAGCCACCACGCCCAGAGGCCAGGGCCCUCGCGCCAAAACCGAGGACUUUCGGUGGAGCCACUGGCGCGCCCCCACGACGGCGGGGCCAGGAAGCGCGGAAGGAACCGCCGGGGGCCAUGGACGGAGCAGUGAUGGAAGGGCCGCUCUUUUUGCAGAGUCAGCGCUUUGGGACCAAGGUGGAGGAAGACCUGGGCCGUGCUCUACCCGGCCAGUCCCCACGGCGUAGCGCGGCUCGAGUUCUUUGACCAUAAG
rnacentral:sRNA from 1 species